AAAGUGAAGGGUUUGAUCCUGGCUCAGAACGAACGCUGGCGGCGUGGCUAAGGCAUGCAAGUCGAACGGACUAUUCAAUUGAGUAAUCGAGCGAAUAGUUAGUGGCGAAAGGGUGAGUAACGGAUAGGUAACGUACCCCGUGCUCCGGAAUAGCGUCGGUUGCUUCGGCAACCUUCCGAAAGGGGCGGUAAUACCGGAUAAUAUCAUCUGUCGAUAGGCUGAUGAUCAAAGAUUUAUCGGCGUGGGAGCGGCCUAUCUCCUAUCAGCUUGUUGGUGAGGUAAUGGCUCACCAAGGCUAUGACGGGUAGCGGGACUGAGAGGUUGGCCCGCCACAUCGGGACUGAGACACUGCCCGGACCUCCACGGAGGGCUGCAGUAACGAAUAUUGCGCAAUGGGCGAAAGCCUGACGCAGCGACGCCGCGUGUAGGAGGAAGUCCCUCGGGAUGUAAACUACUGUCAGGGGGAAGAAAGUGCGCUUCGGCGCAUUGAUCUAACCCAGAGGAAGUCACGGCUAACUUCGUGCCAGCAGCCGCGGUAAGACGAAGGUGGCAAGCGUUGUUCGGUAUUACUGGGCUUAAAGCGUGUGUAGGCGGAAAAGUAAGCGUCUUGUGAAAUCCCCCGGCUUAACCGGGGAAUUGCUUGACGAACUGCUUUUCUUGAGGCAAGUAGGGGUGCAUGGAACUCUUGGUGGAGCGGUGAAAUGCGUAGAUAUCAAGAGGAACGCCGGUGGAGAAAUCGGUGCACUGGGCUUGUCCUGACGCUGAGACACGAAAGCGUGGGGAGCGAACGGGAUUAGAUACCCCGGUAGUCCACGCCGUAAACGAUGUCUACUAGGUUGUGGAGGUUCUGACACCAGCACGGCCGAAGCAAAAGUGUUAAGUGCACCGCCUGGGGAGUACGGUCGCAAGGCUAAAACUCAAAGGAAUUGACGGGGGCUCACACAAGCGGUGGAGCAUGUGGCUUAAUUCGAAGCAACGCGAAGAACCUUACCUGGGUUUGACAUGCACGGAUUAGCUCCCUGAAAGGGGAGUGACGCCUUCGGGUGGAACGUGCACAGGUGCUGCAUGGCUGUCGUCAGCUCGUGCCGUGAGGUGUCGGGUUAAGUCCCUUAACGAGCGAAACCCCUGUCGCUAGUUGCCAGCGCGUAAUGCCGGGGACUCUAGCGAGACUGCCGGUGUCAAACCGGAGGAAGGUGGGGAUGACGUCAAGUCC
rnacentral:rRNA from 3 species